GGAGCUCUGGCUCAAUGGUAGAAACUCUGCUCGGCGUGCAGAAGGUGCUGGGUUCAAUCCCCAACAUCUCCA
rnacentral:tRNA from 1 species